rnacentral:lncRNA from 1 species
AAUCGCUGUGAUGAACAUGCAGACAUAUGUGAGCGACCUGAUUGGUCUGCAUGAUCCAGCCACGUGGCGCAGAGCUUAACCAGCCAUACACAGAGUUAAU